rnacentral:rRNA from 1 species
GACGAACGCUGGCGGCGUGCUUAAUACAUGCAAGUCGAACGGAAAGGCCCUGCUCUUGCUGCGUGCUCGUGAGCCGCACAGGUGUGUAACACGCGUGUAACCUGCCCCUGUCUGUGGGAUAUCAUCAGGAAAAUCGGGCUAUUACAGCAUAGAAGCUCCUGCAGCACGGUGGUGGUUGGAGAGUUUCGGCGGUUGGGGAUGGACUCGCGGCUUAUCAGCUUGUUGGUGAGGUAGUUGCUUACCAAGGCUUCGACGGGUAGCCGGCCUGAGAGCGUGACCGGCCACAUUGGGACUGAGAUACGGCCCAGACUCCAACGGGACGCAGCAGUGGGGAAUAUUGCAGAAUGGGCGGGAGCGUGAGACAGCAGCGCCGCGUGCGGGAUGACGGCCUUCGGGUUGAAAACCGCUGUCGCCGGUGACGAAGCGUUAGUGACGGUAAUGGGUAAGGAAGCACCGGCUAACUACGUG